AAUGAACGCUGGCGGCAUGCCUAACACAUGCAAGUCGAACGAGACCUUCUGGUCUAGUGGCGCACGGGGGCGUAACGCGUGGGAACCUGCCCUUAGGUUCGGAAUAACUCCCCGAAAGGGGUGCUAAUACCGGAUAAUGUCUUCGGACCAAAGAAUUAUCGCCUUUGGAUGGGCCCGCGUUUGAUUAGCUAGUUGGUAGGGUAAAAGCCUACAAAGGCGACGAUCCAUAGCUGGUCUGAGAGGAUGAUCAGCCACACUGGGACUGAGACACGGCACAGACCCCUACGGGAGGGCGAAGGGGGGAAUAUUGGAAAAGGGGCGAAAGCGUGAUCCCGCAAUGCCGCGGGAGUGAUGAAGGCCUUAGGGUUGUAAAGCUCUUUUACCAGGGAUGAUAAUGACAGUACCUGGAGAAUAAGCACCGGCUAACUCCGUG
rnacentral:rRNA from 1 species